CAAAUCAGCAACGCAGAAUCCUGUGAGUGGAUCUCGUCUAUCUGCUUCCUCUUUCGUUCCUCUCUCCCUCCCUGUAUUCCUCCGCUCCUUCCCUCCCUUGGACACGUCACGCCUGCCUAUCACGCAAAGUUGGCUAACCUCUGUGUAACCAUGAACAUUUCAAUCGAGUUCUAAAUCUUUUAUUUGUUUCGUAAUUGUGGGUGAAAUAUUUAUAACUGGUGUCACUCAUUCCUUCACUAAAAUAUAACACGGAACUAGAAAACUGGUGGAGGGAGGGUAGAGGAAGGGUAUUGGAGGGUACAGAGAGUGUCAGGAAGAGGAAGAGCGAGUGUGUAGCAGCGAAAGUACUGGUCUGUGCUACGUGUGGGAAGUAAUUUUAGUGGCAGCGUGAAGGCGAAGAUACGAGUGACGUGCUGGCAGGCUAACUGAGCAGACGUGUCGCUCGUUAGGGACAAGAGUCUUACGUCGAUUCUUAAUGCUUCCCGGGGUGAAAGAAAGAAAGAAAGGAAGAAAAAAAGAGAAGAAAGAAUAAAGAGAACUAUGAAACUGAAGAAAGAACGAAUAAAUUGGAGGACGUGGAACAGAACUAUGAAAUUGAAGGGAGAAUGAAUAAAUAAGAGGAGGAGGAGGAGGAGGAGGAGGAGGAGGAGCAGGAGGAGGAGGAGAAGGAGAGGAAGGUGACCUACGUUCGAGUGUGGAGUGAGGUGGUUGGUAAAUAAAUAACGACUACAGGAAACUUAUUAAGGAGAUAAACUGGUGUUGUAUUUUCAGGCAUUUCAGCAUCUUCGUCUUGAAUUAUCUCUGCUUAAUUGUGUUAGUGAAGGCUCUGGUUUAUGUUCUGCAAACUCAAGGGCUGUUACGUAUAGGCCUACUAUUUUUGUUUUUAUGUAAGGAAAGAGACAAAAGGCGAAUACAAGGAGAAAAACAAAACAAAACAUGCAUAACAAAUCUCUACAAGUUACUAGUGUAAUAAUCAAAAAGCUAUUUAUAUAUCUAUUUAUUUAUUUAUUUAUUUCCUUUUCUUAUUUUUGUAGC